rnacentral:rRNA from 1 species
GGGCCUACGGGGCGCAGCAGUGAGGAAUAUUGGUCAAUGGGAGAGAUCCUGAACCAGCCAAGCCGCGUGAGGGAAGACGGCCCUAUGGGUUGUAAACCUCUUUUGUCGGAGAACAAAACCCGGGACGUGUCCCGGACUGCGUGUAUCCGAAGAAAAAGCAUCGGCUAACUCCGUGCUAGCAGCCGCGGUAAUACGGAGGAUGCGAGCGUUGUCCGGAAUUCAUGGGUGUAAAGGGAGCGUAGGCGGGACGGCAAGCCAGAUGUGUAAACUGAGGGCUCAACCUU